rnacentral:rRNA from 1 species
CUUCACUGUAUCUUGACAGUGGUUUUAGAUUGCGUUUGUGUAGGAUAGGUGGGAGGCUAUGAGACUGGGCCGCUAGGUCUAGUGGAGCCAACGUUGAAAUACCACCCUGGUGCAAUUUGAGAUCUAACCCAGUCCCCUGAAUCGGGGACAGGGACACUGUCUGGUGGUCAGUUUGACUGGGGCGGUCGCCUCCUAAAAGGUAACGGAGGCAUCCCAAGGUUCCCUCAGCCUGGUCGGUAAUCAGGCGAAGAGUGUAAAGGCAUAAGGGAGCUUAACUGCGAGACCGACAGGUCGAGCAGAUACGAAAGUAGGGCUUAGUGAUCCCGCGGACUAGCGUGGAAUUGCCGUUGCUCAAUGGAUAAAAGGUA